UAUUUUUAAAGAUUACUUUUAUUUUUAAAUAACAAGCCUAUUAAGAAUGUUAAGUGUACACGCAUCCACAAAGCCAUGCAAGGCAGUCCUAACCUCUGUCAUGUGGAAGCAUUGCCUGUUCUUGAAACAUUCAUGAAGAGUCUUUUGUCUCAUCCUCUAAGUACCUGGGACUGACUCUGGACUCGCCUCAAUUACUCAGUUUCAGAACUGGAAAAAAAAUGAAUCACAAUGAAUUUUUUAAGCAGAGAUCAAGCUGUUUUCCUGGCAUUGGGUCCUGUUGAAUCUCCUCCUGGUUCCUCAUUACACCGGGCUCUUGCUCUGGCUGAAGUCGCCACAGCAGAGCAGAGGAUGCUUGGAGCCGGAGCUUUCAAAUGCAGUGGCUGGGACUGGCGAGAGGUCAGGCUGCCAUGGCAGGGGGUUUAAAGCGGGUGCAGGAGGAGGAAAUGAGCUGCUUUUCUGCUGUUUUGUGCAAGUCUACUUCACACGGUGAUCCACAAAGUGGCAAAACACCGUGCCAAGGAAAAGACACGCAGCCAGGAGCGACCGUUCCUUCUCUGGCAGCCCUGCAUGGAGGAGAAACUUCCACACGCGACCCUGCCCUGCCUCAGGAAGUGUGGUUCAAAGAGGGGAAGGAAAUGAGAUGGAAAAGGGCGGGGGGAAGGCUCAUUUACUGCUGGGGAGCUGCCUCUAGACCCAUGGGGAAAGCCAGCAUUAGGGCUAGGGAGAGAUUACCACUGUUUACUGAGAAGCUUAGCGGGAAACACAUGGGGAAAGUCAUAUGGUCGGUCUGUAAGAAUUCAUCCAUGUUCCCGUUCUCCUCCCAUUCUCUCACAGCCUGGAAGUUGCCCUCUGAGGAGACCAUGCCACAGGGACAGCAGCAGGAGGAGGCAGAGCAGACGGGCAGGGAAGCCCUUCAGGGAGCUGAAAUUUCAUGUUGCUCUGUGUCUGUGGGAAUCCCAGCAGCACUGCACCACAGGGAGAUACAACUGCUUUGGGGUCCUACAGCCAGUUUUUCUGUUGCAAAAUGGAAGCGCACGAUUAAACUCCAGCAAAACAGAAGGGAAAGAAUUGGCUGGAGAGGAAUGCAGCAGCAGCACAGACAACAGCAGGUCAGCCCGAGCAUAGUUUGAAUGCUCACUGUGGUAAGUAGUUCUACUGACAGGGCUAGUUUCUGUUUAGAAAUCUGGAUUUGCACAAUGUGCACUAGCAAUACCUGAAACCCUUUCUGCUCUCAUUUACAGAGUAAGAGCUUCCUUUUUUCCAGUGAAACUGUACUUAAAAGAGGUUUGGAUUUAUCUUAUCUUCUUAAUUGCUGCUGUCUCAAUUAAAUUUCACCUGUGAUACCAACAGCCCUCCUGGAGACCGAAAGGAAAUUGAACAGGUUGUGAGUAAAUUAAAUAGCUCUGUAAAUUAUAAAGUUUGCAUCUGCUGGUCACUGCAGAGAAAGCUACAUACAUAGUACAUGAUUUUUGUAACCUUGGUGAUUUAGGAAAUCUUAGGGGAAAAAAAGAGUUUAGCCUGCCAAAAAUCUGCAAGGAUCACUGAUAAUUUGUUGAUCAGCAUUAGGUUCCUUAAAUCCAUGCACUUCAUUAUCUGAUUAAUUCAGAGGCAGGUUUGUAAUCAGUGAUGAAAUGUUUAAGAUUCUUCUGCUCUGGCCUCCGCAACCUCCUGCAGCUCAUUAGAAAAGCUAAUCAGAUUGAAUUUUCUACCAUGCUGUUUAUUGUAGCUCUAAUGGAAGACAAUCACUUUAAAAUUACACACUUGGCAGGUAAUUUCUAAAAGCUAUAAGCCAUGGAAGCAGUGUUUUCUCUAGACUCUAUUUUUCUUUACUAGAGUAAAGUAAGUCAUGGUGAUUUCUAUUAGAAUUUGGAAGGCUAUUUUGCAAUACAAUAUGUAAAGAAAUGUUGCUAAAAAUACGGAUUUCUGCAUUUGCCAUACUUCUUAUCAUCUGCCUGCCUUUUUAGAGAUGAUAAGUAAUGUAUAAGUUUAAUUUAAAAUUCAGUCUUCCUACUUUAUGACUUGAUUUUUCAAGCCUUUAAGAAUGUUCUUCUUAUGGGAUGGAUAACAUUAUUUUAUUUUUUUUUAAAAAAAGACAGCUUUUUGGUCCCCAUUUUUCAUAGAUGAGUUGUUAUAAACCAUAUUGUGCUGGAGCUUUCUGAACACUAACAGCAUGCUUUUGGUCAUGUGGAGGGGAACCAGACAACUAAUGUGCUCUGAAGGAUGCAGUCCUUGAGGCUGCCACAUACUUCAUGGAUUUGUCUUUACUCACAUUCACUCUGUGAAUAAGCAGCGAGUUGCAUAAUGCCAGCUUUGCUUCCUCCUUUUACGUGGAUGUGACAGCUUGAGUCGCUAGCACCAGUUGUGCUCGGGCCAUGAGGAUGAAACAUGCUGUGCAGGAAAAGGUCAGGGGUAAAAGUCAUAGCAAAAUAUAUCCCCUUAAAGUGGAUGCCGCUCCUGCUUUUCAUUGCUUAAAAUAAUAUUAGGGUGUUGUUUUUUUGUUUGUUUUUUUUUAAAUAGCGAAAUCUAAUAAAACUAGACUUGGCCUCA
rnacentral:lncRNA from 1 species